rnacentral:rRNA from 1 species
CUACGGGAGGCACCAGUGGGGAAUAUUGCACAAUGGGCGCAAGCCUGAUGCAGCAACGCCGCGUGAACGAUGAAGGCCUUCGGGUUGUAAAGUUCUUUUCUUAGGGAAGAAUAAAUGACGGUACCUAAGGAAUCAGCCCCGGCUAACUACGUGCCAGCAGCCGCGGUAAUACGUAGGGGGCAAGCGUUAUCCGGAAUCACUGGGCGUAAAGGGAGUGUAGGCGGUCAAGCAAGUCAGAGGUGAAAGGCAUCGGCUCAACCGAUGUAAGCCUUUGAAACUGUUUGACUUGAGUGCAGGGGGUAAGUGGAAUUCCUAGUGUAGCGGUGAAAUGCGUAGAUAUUAGGAGGAACACCAGUGGCGAAGGCGACUUACUGGACUGUAACUGACGCUGAGGCUCGAAAGCGUGGGGAGCGAACAGGAUUAGAUACCCUAGUAGUC